GACCUGCGGAGGGAUCAUUACCGAGUUUACAACUCCCAAACCCCUGUGAACAUACCACUUGUUGCCUCGGCGGAUCAGCCCGCUCCCGGUAAAACGGGACGGCCCGCCAGAGGACCCCUAAACUCUGUUUCUAUAUGUAACUUCUGAGUAAAACCAUAAAUAAAUCAAAACUUUCAACAACGGAUCUCUUGGUUCUGGCAUCGAUGAAGAACGCAGCAAAAUGCGAUAAGUAAUGUGAAUUGCAGAAUUCAGUGAAUCAUCGAAUCUUUGAACGCACAUUGCGCCCGCCAGUAUUCUGGCGGGCAUGCCUGUUCGAGCGUCAUUUCAACCCUCAAGCACAGCUUGGUGUUGGGACUCGCGUUAAUUCGCGUUCCCCAAAUUGAUUGGCGGUCACGUCGAGCUUCCAUAGCGUAGUAGUAAAACCCUCGUUACUGGUAAUCGUCGCGGCCACGCCGUUAAACCCCAACUUCUGAAUGUUGACCUCGGAUCAGGUAGGAAUACCCGCUGAACUUAAGCAUAUC
rnacentral:rRNA from 1 species